AGUGCGCCCGUCCCGUCUGCCCGACGGCGGCCUCAGUGCGCCCGUCCCGUCUGCCCGACGGCGGCCUCAGUGGGCAGGAAGCACCUCAUUUGUAAUCAGGCAGCACAAAUGUUCCAUUGUGUCAGUCCAUAAGUCUCUUAAAUAGCCUUCAAACAUGAAAUCCUUGAACGUAUAAAAACAAAAUCAGGUACAAAUAAAUCAUGAGGCCUCACUGAGGUCCGUCACACUGCAGCAGUUCUUCAGUCUCAGUUCAGGGUGCCUCACUGCUAAUGGACAACAGAUGUGUUGAGUCAACAGUGUGUGAGAUGGUAGAGAGCCUCAAAAACAGCCUAAGGGUGUCAUUCAUUAGUGACUUCCCCAGUACCUGUACCAGUAAAGUCAUGUGCAGUUCCAUCAGCGGGCUCUGUUCAUUGAUGCUUCUGCGGCCAUAAUUCCGGCAUGUUCCACAUUAAUGUCAUUGGUUACGGGCAGCAGCGCCUGUAAACCCAACGCUUUUUUUCUCCUCGUCUUCCCGUUCACCUUCAUCUUCCUCACCUUCCAUCUUCAGAACUUGUUCUGGUUUGGCCUGGGCUGGGCCACGGUGCUCCUCAUUCCCAGCCUGAUCCUCUCCGUGAGACUGGCCAAGUUCUACCGCCGGAUGGACACGGAAGACGUCUACGACGAUUCCUCCGUCUCUGGCACAUGGCAUUUCACGUUAUGAUAAUCAUUCCCUCCUCUUUCCUUCUCCUUCCUUCCCCUCCAUUUCCAUGCACUUUGCACUUUAAUGGAAGCCGUACAUUUCUCUUCACUCCAUUCCCACUCUGUCCGUCAGUUUGCUUUUCGUCACCAACAAACAGCCAACGCUGAUCGCUUCUUCGUAGCGUCAAAACACUUCAGAAGAUUCCACCCCCAUCUCCCUCAUACUUAACUCUCUGAUUCCCGCUUAAUAAACCACGUGUUCUGUUAAGUCACAGGGCACUUGCUGUUUGGUGCUUGAUUUCGCUGAAGUGUAAAUGAGCUGUUUAUGUACAGUAAAGGGCGCAACCUUUACUUUGUGCUGUAUAUUUUAUAUAGCUACUGUAACUGCCCCUAAUACGGAGGGGUCCCUACAAAGAAAAUCCAUCAAACAUAUUUGUGUUUAUAAGUUAUAUAAAGAAUUUGUAUAUUACAUAAUAGACAAUUGGGCUUUUUAAUACAUUGUGAAUAUAUUCAUACAAUUGAUUGUUCUCACAAGUCUUGUUUACAUUGCAUUAUAUGAUGUGAUUAUAUAUCAUAUAAGAUAUCCCAUCUUCCAUUUUAUUACAUGUUCCAUCUCUUUUAAUGUUUUCCUUUCUGAUAAAGUAUGGAAAUUGGCAUUAAUGGUUAUCAUAACGAGCCUUCACUCAGUAUGCAGAGCACCAUACCGAUGAGCGAAAUAGUUCCAGAGCCCCUACCCCCGUAUCCAUUUGACUCCAUUCCACCUGGCUUCAGUUCCUCCGUACAAGACAGGCUGGUGAGAGCAAGUGCAAUAGAAACCUGGAACUGAAGCAGAUUAGACGCUCAAGUACCCAGAAAAGAAGGAUGUUAUCUUCACAAAGUCACAUGACCACCUAAGACCACGUCAACGAACGUGACCCCCUCACCUGUCCUCCUCCCCCCCCCAGCUGGCCCGGUUUGACCUUCCAUCUUCCGCUUGGUCCUAAGGAGAGCUUACGGUCUGCCUUAGGUCACCAAAUAUUACCAAACCAAUGUCUGAGAUAAGACUCCAGCCGCAGAGGACUUCCCCAUGGUCACCCAUCAGUCAUUUUUACAAAUCAAUUACGUCUAACUUUCAGAUAUAAAUGUGUAAAUGUUGCACACUUGCGAAAGUUUACAAUUUUCUAUAUUGCUGUGAAUGUUUGUUUUUUUAAGCCUUGUCAAUAUCUCCUGAACCUUUCUUUGUGUAAAUGCUUUUAUUUCCAUACACUAUGCAGGUAGCUGUUCACUGGCUUUUUAAACGUGCAUCUGUAAGGGGUUAAUCAAACGGCAUCUUUUCCCAAGACUGAAAAUGCAGCCACAUUGUGUCUGAACACGCAUGAUAUGGUACUUGACGGAAACGCGCUGAACUGCAGGCCUCUGGUGACCACAGCCGUUUGGUGAUGAUGUUUGUUAUUCAGUAAUUAACGGAGAAACAAGUUCCCAAAGACACUGAAAAAAGAAUGGCUUGGUUGCAUAGCAAAUAUGGUUUGAGUAAAAUACAUGAAACAUUUAGCUGUUUCAUAAACUAUGCCGUUGACCCCCCCCACACACACACUCUGCCACAGAUAAGGCAGUGUCACCAUACUACGUUGUUACUCGAAACCUCUUGUUACUCAGGUCUCUCUCUGGUGCUGCUUACAAUAAUGUCGCUGUUUUGCUCACUACUUCAAUGUUUUUUGGCACGUUGAAAACCAUGACCGUAACGUCCCUCCAGAGAUGCAUUUCAAAGUUAAUAUGCCUGAUUACCAUGAUAUUUGUAUAAAUCUUUUUUUUUCUUCAUUGUUUGCUUUUAGCCUAAUUCUCCCUCUCCUUGGUCGAAAUGGUUUAACUGUAAGACUGACAUUAGCACUUAUAGUGCUUCAGUGCCGGGACGUCUGUUGCUCUAGCUUCCCGAACCGCGGGUCUUUGGUUCGACCCCCAUUGGCGCCGCCAAAUAAACACGAAUAAACAUGAUUUGUCGUUA